rnacentral:rRNA from 1 species
GAUGAACGCUAGCGGCAGGCCUAACACAUGCAAGUCGAGGGAGAGGUUACCUUCGGGUAACCAAAACCGGCGCACGGGUGCGUAACGCGUAUACAAUCUGCCUUUCACAUAGGGAUAGCCCGAAGAAAUUUGGAUUAAUACCUAAUGGUAUAUAAGAGCGGCAUCGUUUUUAUAUUAAAGCUACGGUGGUGAAAGAUGAGUAUGCGUUCUAUUAGCUAGUUGGAGAGGUAACGGCUCCCCAAGGCGACGAUAGAUAGGGGUUCUGAGAGGGAUGUCCCCCACACUGGUACUGAGAUACGGACCAGACUCCUACGGGAGGCAGCAGUGAGGAAUAUUGGACAAUGGCCGGAAGACUGAUCCAGCCAUGCCGCGUGCAGGAUGAAGGUCCUAUGGAUUGUAAACUGCUUUUGUAAGGGAAGAAUAAGGAGUACGUGUACUUUGAUGACGGUACCUUACGAAUAAGCAUCGGCUAACUCCGUGCCAGCAGCCGCGGUAAUACGGAGGAUGCGAGCGUUAUCCGGAAUCAUUGGGUUUAAAGGGUCCGUAGGCGGGCUGGUAAGUCAGAGGUGAAAGCGCUUAGCUCAACUAAGCAACUGCCUUUGAAACUGUCAGUCUUGAAUGAUUGUGAAGUAGUUGGAAUGUGUAGUGUAGCGGUGAAAUGCUUAGAUAUUACACAGAACACCGAUAGCGAAGGCAUAUUACUAACAAUUUAUUGACGCUGAUGGACGAAAGCGUGGGGAGCGAACAGG